GCUUUCGUGGUGUAACGGUAGCAUACUCGACGCGUAUUCGAGAGGUCCAGGUUCGAAUCCCGGCGAGUGCA
rnacentral:tRNA from 1 species